CCACCUAACCCAUUCAAUACAUCACAUCAAACAGAUAAUUCCAACACUAUGAAGGAGAUCCAACGUGGCUCACACCCAAUACAUAUUGAAGCGAGCUUAAGAUAGGGGUGAAACUUGAAAGUGAAACUUAUCACAAUUGUGAAUUGGAUAUGGAUGAUGACGUCACCAACCCACGUUUGUUAUGAGUCCGUGUCUUUAAGAAUUAGUCUAACUAACCUUAAAACUCUGGUCGAGUUGAAAGUAUUAUAAAUAUAAAGACACCCUUUUCUAGGUACAAUAAUAAUGUAGACUUCUUUCUUUGGCUUUAGAACUCUAUAAACUCUUCACUCUCUCUGUCUCUCUCUCUCUGCGUGUGGAAAUAUAUAUAAUAAGGCCUUGUUUGGUUGAAACAGUAGCAAAAAGAAGAAGGAGAUCGAUGAUGGUGGAAUUGUUUGUGCUAGGGUGUACUGGAGUCGUUCUGUUUCUCCACGGAGCCAAUUUCUUCUUUAAUGUUCUCACUCAACAUGUUGCCAUUCGAUCACUCAGUUUCUUUGGAUCUGUUGGAUGGUAGAUCAAGACAUAAAUGCUGCAGCCAUAUGAAUUUCUUCACGCCAAGUUUUCGUGUAGUAUGGAGAAUAAAUACAAUUCCAAAGAAGGAAUGGGAGUUUAUUUUGCACCUGCCGUGAAGCUUUGUAUAUAUUUAUUAUGAUCAACAUUUUGGCAAGCUUAAUUUGGUGCAUAAUGGGGGAAAUAAUGAAAUAAAUGGAAGGGUUUCGUUGAAAGUUUAA